UACAGAGGGGGCAAGCGUUGUUCGGAAUUACUGGGCGUAAGGGGCGCGUAGGCGGCCUCUUAAGUCGAACGUGAAAUCCCCGGGCUCAACCCGGGAACUGCGUCCGAUACUGGGAGGCUUGAAUCCGGGAGAGGGAUGUGGAAUUCCAGGUGUAGCGGUGAAAUGCGUAGAUAUCUGGAGGAACACCGGUGGCGAAGGCGGCAUCCUGGACCGGUAUUGACGCUGAGGCGCGAAAGCGUGGGGAGCAAACAGG
rnacentral:rRNA from 1 species